rnacentral:rRNA from 1 species
UACAGAGGUCUCAAGCGUUGUUCGGAUUCAUUGGGCGUAAAGGGUGCGUAGGUGGCGGGGCAAGUUUGGUGUGAAAUCCCGGGGCUCAACCCUGGAACUGCACUGAAUACUGCUUUGCUAGAGUACUGGAGAGGGAACUGGAAUUUACGGUGUAGCAGUGAAAUGCGUAGAUAUCGUAAGGAAGACCAGUGGCGAAGGCGAGUUCCUGGACAGUUGCUGACACUGAGGCACGAAGGCUAGGGGAGCAAACCGGG